GGGGAUGUAGCUCAGUGGUAGAGCGCUUGUCUAGCAAGCACAAGGCCCUGGGUUCGGUCCCCAGCUCCG
rnacentral:tRNA from 1 species